GGAAAUGGGGCUUAGUGGUAGAGUGCAUGCCUAGCAUACAUGAAGCCCUGGGUUCAAUUCCUCAGUACCA
rnacentral:tRNA from 1 species